AUUUCUGAUGGAUAUAAAGAAACAGUACUGCAAGAAAAUAGCAGUAGGUAUCUUGAAACUGGAAUUUUCUCGCUUAAAUGCCUCUAGUGGAGUAGUGUGGUAGCGUUAUCCAGUUUGUCUUGCUGGUUAGCUUCAAAGAAGGUAUAAAUCCUCAUUGGCUUCUGGCAAGUGUGGUUUUUAUCAACCAUCAAGGAGAUAACACAGCAAUAAUACAUUGCAUUGAUGCACCAAGAGUGUAAGAGAUCUUACGCACGGGACUCCAGCUGCUGCUGAUUUGUUGAAGUGAAGUUUCAUCUUAUUACUGGAUUUAGAAAGAAGCUUGUACAUGGUCUCUGUGAGAAACAAAACCUGCAUUUAUCAGCAGGACAUCUAUCCACCAACAUUUGCUUCUUGUGGGGAGGGGUGGACAUUACAGGAAUAUUUGUUUUUUCUUGUGAAAUUACCAUGACUAAUCACUUGUGAGGUCUGCAAAGUUGUAUGGAGUUUAAGCUUCAGGGACGAGAUGUUGCCAAGCAGCGGGGUCCUGCUGGCUAGGAACAGAAAAAAGCUGUCGCAAGCUGCUUCCAUAAUGAUAGUUUGCUGAAUCAUAGUAUGGUUGCUGCAAAGAGCCAAAGAGUACAUAAAGCAUCUUAGUUAUGAUUAAUUCCAUGAUUGCUGGAUAAAAUAAUAGUUAUUCAAGGAGUGGGGAAUGCAAAUUUGUAACUUAUGAGCGAUCUCAAUUGGUGAUAUCUUGUGUGCUAACCAUGCUUCAUUCAUUCAAUCUUCGACAUGCAGACUCCCAGUAAGCUAACUACUGAAGAAUGAGUUCUACAUGAUUGAUGCUAUAGCACUGGGACCCCUGCAAAUGAGUGCCAGGGUAAUUUUCCCAAAUCAAAGGGAAUUUAACUGUCCCCUGCAGAUUUCCGAUUUCAGCGAAAAAUUACUGGGGUUUCAAACAGGCCAAUGCCUGAAUUUAUCAGCGGUUCCAGACUUCCAGUGACACAGAUACGAACAUUUUCUUCGCCACUAUUCUACCGGCGCCGGCCCAGCGACCAUGACCCCACUUUUCUGUUGCGCCUUGCGCGAUUCCCCUGCGCUCUGCUGCGCAGGCUGCGCCUCUGCGUAGCCCCGCCGCCCUCCGCCACAGAAAAUUCACGACGCCUCCGAGCAGCCGUCCUCCGCCACAACUUCGCCAUGGGCGCGCCCUAGCCCCGCCCUUAUUAUCCCCGUCUAUGGCUCCUGCUGCUGCAGCCGCUGACGCCGCCGCGCUGCCCCUCCCAUGGCUCUUCUCGCGCUCCGUUUGGGGCCGCUUCUCCCAGCCCCAACCCACCGCCGUCGGGUCCUCCGGAACCGGUGCCGGGGCCGGAUCGUCGCCUCCAAUGCCACCACGCUCGUGAGGGACGGGGGCGCGGCCGCGGUGGUGUGGUUCAAGCAUGACCUCCGCAUCGACGACCACCCGGGCCUCGCCGCCGCCGUCGCGGAGCCGCGGCGCCCCGUCGUGCCGCUCUACGUCUUCGACCGACGCAUCCUCGCAGGUUAUUCAGAUAAAAUGCUGGAACUGCUGCUAUUUGCUCUGAAAGAUCUUAAGAUGGCGUUGAAAUCUCAGGAGUCUGAUCUGCUCAUAGGCUUGGGAAAUGCUGAAGAUGUUGUGCUGAAGCUUGUGAAUGAGGUGCAAGCAGGUCUUAUUUUUACAGAAGAGGAAGUUGAAUAUAGAGUGCGCAAUGUUCUGGCCAAUGUUGAAUCAUCUUUAUCUAAUGGGUCAUUCUCAUGGGGAAGCCCUCCCAAGAUAGUGGCUUGGAGUGCCCCGUUGUAUGACUAUAAGAAUUUGGAAGAAGUAUCAACGUCACACGACCAAUUUUUAAAGACAAAACUACCAAUGGCCACACCUCUUGCUGCUACAGCUUUGCCUGCUCUAAAUUUGGAGUUAGGCACAGGUUUUCUACCCACUCUGGAAGAAUUAAAAGGUUUCCUGAAAGACAGUAGAACACGAGAGGAUACUUGGGUCCCUCUCAAGAACACGUCUGCAAUAUCUAUUCUAAAAAGGACUCUCAGUCAAAGAAAGAUCAAAAGUAACACUACAUUAAGCACCAGCAGCAAUGGCGAAAACAUAGAGGAUAUCCCCAUGGAUUCUGGUGCAUCAGGAAGGAGAAUUAUGAAUUCAAUGUUUGCAUCUGAAAACUCACUUGAAGUUAGGGGUGGAACAGAUAUUACUUUGGAUGCCUUGGCUGCUUACCUAAGAUACCUCGAAGGCACAGGAAAUGCUAGUUGGCAAGAAUUGCAUGAUAAAGUGCGUUUAGCUGAAACCAGAGAUGGUGCCUCAUUCUACACCUUGUUUGGUCCUGCAAUUCAGCUUGGAGUCAUAUCCAGGAGGAAAGCUUACAAUGAUACUAUUCAAUACGAGAAAGAUCGCAAUGCUGGUUUCCUAUCACCAUUUGGGUACUCAACACCUACAGUGAAAGCAGCAGUAGAUGCUAUAUGUUCGAUGGAGUGGUAUUGGCUCUUGGCAUCAAAAUCCCAAGUAUCUGUUGAGGGAAAUUGUCCUAUAAGAAUUUGGAGAUGGAAGGGUUAUCUUGUACAGUACACUUUUGUUGGCAUCGAAGGUCCAGCCGUUCUUCUUGUGCAUGGUUUUGGAGCUUUCCUGGAGCAUUUUCGUGACAAUAUAGACAACAUUGCUGAUAUGGGCCACCGAGUUUGGGCAAUUACUCUUGUUGGGUUUGGGAAAUCAGAGAAACCAAAUGUCAACUAUUCAGAACUUUUCUGGUCAGAGUUACUGAGAGACUUUAUUAUUGAUGUUGUGAGGGAACCUGUUCAUCUUGUUGGCAACUCUAUUGGAGGCUAUAUCUGUGCCAUUGCUGCUGGUUUAUGGCCUUCUCUUGCAAAGUCUCUGGUUCUUUUAAAUUCAGCUGGUUCGGUUGUUCCAAAUUACCCCUUUGUCCCAUUGAAUGAAGAAAGAAAAACAUCUUGGCUUUCCAGGUUGCAGGCACAGCUUCUUUUGCUCUUCUUGAGAUCAAGAGUAGAGGGCAUUCUUAAAGAAUAUUAUCCUACUAGAACGGGACGGGUGGACAAGCCACUUGUGGACCAGAUUAUAAGAGCUUCUUAUGAUCCUGGUGCUUUAACAGUUCUUGAGAGUGUAUUCAGCUUCAAUCUUUCAAUUCCUCUUAACUUUUUAUUUGAUUCUUUUGGAGGAAAAAUAUUAGUUAUCCAGGGUAUGAAAGAUCCCCUUACAAAAUCUGAGGCGUUUGUUACCAUGCUCCGAGAGCAUUGCAGCAAGGUUCAAAUCAGAGAGUUGAAUGCAGGUCAUGCUCCACAUGAUGAAAUUCCAGAUGAAGUAAAUACCCUACUGUGUGAAUGGACGAAACAGAUUGAAGUUAAACCAGCCCUGGAGAAGACCAAGGCAGUAUAGCUGAUAUUGAGAUGAAACAUACAUGAGAUCAGAAGAAGAAAUAAAAAGCAGCUGUGCAUGUUUCUGGGGCUUGUUUGGAUUGACGACUAGAGCAGAUCUCUAUUGGUUGGGAAGGAAUCUUUCUCGGCACUGGAGCUGGGUUUCAUCAUCCUGAGUAUGCAUUACAUCAGUUGGGAAGCUUCAGCACCAUUCAACGCCAUCUACCAAUCACCGGUGCUUCCAUCCUUUCGCAAGGUCAUGAGACGGCACUGUCACUUUGGUCGCCUUCUCCCAGCCAAAAGAACCCGAGCAUUCCCACUCCCGGACAGCGACUCACCCCCACUGCUCUCCGGAGUGAUAUCACCUCAUGACAGCCCCGCAUCACGCAUGCUGUCACUGUUUCUUUAGCCCCCCUUUCGCUUUGCUGCCCAAUAUUCAGUGCCUUUUCCCGGAGCAAAUCGGCAGUGCUUCCACUAGUCACGACUCACGAGCCCUGGUAAGCAUGAUUAUUUCCAGCCUCAUUUCGCAAUGCUUUAUUUGGGGGCAUCUGAAAAAUCUUUGGGCGAGCACAGACACCCCAUCAACGAGGCCAUAAAACAAAGUUCUGAUUGGGAUCACCCAACCAACCCACCUUAUCUAUUCAGCAAGCUUUCACCAGGGCCCUUGUCCUGGUUUUCACCAAACCUGACAGCCACGCGCCCAGUCCGUCCAUGGCCGCCUCCAAAGGAUGUCAGGUUGCAGGUGACCACGUCAUCUCGACAAGGCUACUGACCUCUUCUUCUUCGCUCUAAUGAUAGGCCCUGGGAGUCGCCUGCACCCGUCCAUGGCCACAACUUGGAGUCCAGUCCUGUACCACUCCUGCUGCCCUCCCCCGUCUUUGCUCGCUCUACAAGCCUCCUCGGAAUUGUUAAAGAUUCUGUUGCUGUCGCCCGUGUCCCGUUGGUCCAAUCGCCCGGGGGAUGUUACAAGCUAUAGCUCGUGCGCCACCAGCUGCUGCGCCCUUGCUGUCCGCUUCAAGCCGAGUGCGCCCUCGUGUCGCUGGAUUUCUUGGCGAGUUCUUACGCUAGCGCCUCGGGUACCGACGUGUGUUGGCGCAGAUUGGGCGACAGAAUCCGGGCAAAUGCGCUGCCGGAUGGUGAAACUUCUGGAGCUCUCCCACAGUACAGUGUAGUAGGGCACACCUUUAAAAAAAAUGGAUAUGGACAUGUGGUGAAGCCGUGAAGUUUUCUUACUCUAGCAGUUGUUACUAUCACAAUGAUAUGGUAGAGCUCACAAGUUUCCGCACUUCCGAGCUCUCUGUUUUGCUUCAAAUCAAACAAACAUAUAUUUUUGUGAA